AUACUGUAAUAAUUGUGUAGUGGAGUGUAAUACAAAGUGCGAUUGAAUUCUACAUGUCGCCAUUUAAUGUUUAACGGCUGAAAGUGUUGGCUGUGUUCAAAUUUUACUGAUUUUAUUGUUAUACAGUUGAAAUCCACUAACAUUUUUGAAGAAAAUCUCAAUCAAUUAAUUUAACUUGUACAAUGAAUUCCAUCAUUAAUAAAGAAAAUGUUAUUGACACACCACAACAUUUGCAAAAUGAAUUUCAUAAAGGUAAAUCGAUCAAAUCUCCUAUUCAAGUAUUAAAUGAAGUACAUACAAAUAUAUUGGUAAAAUCAAGAUCUCAAGAAAAUGUUCAAGUGUCUGAAUUCAUGGAUUCAUUGGCCAAAUACAGAACUAACUUUGAUAGCGCCAUGGAACCAUUGCUUAAAGAUAACCCUAGACGAUUCGUUAUCUUUCCUAUUAUAUAUGAUGAUAUAUGGGCUAUGUACAAAAAACAGGAAGCAUCAUUUUGGAAUGUUGAAGAAGUAAACUUGAAAAAUGAUCUUGAUGAUUGGGUAAAAUUAACAGAUGAUGAACGUCAUUUCAUAUCACAUGUAUUAGCUUUUUUUGCUGCUUCUGAUGGAAUUGUAAAUGAAAAUCUUGUUGAAAGAUUUUCUCAAGAAGUCCAAAUAACUGAAGCUCGUUGCUUCUACGGUUUUCAAAUUAUGAUGGAAAAUAUUCAUUCUGAAAUGUAUAGCCUUUUAAUUGACACAUAUAUUCAAGACCCAAAGCAAAAGGACUUCUUAUUUAAUGCAAUAGAAACAAUGCCUUGUGUAAAAAAAAAGGCAGAUUGGGCCCUUAAAUGGAUUUGUGACAAUCAGGCAACUUUUGGUGAAAGACUUGUUGCCUUUGCUGCUGUUGAAGGAAUUUUUUUUUCAGGAAGUUUUGCUGCAGUAUUUUGGUUAAAGAAAAGAGGACUUAUGCCAGGUUUAACUUUCAGUAAUGAACUAAUUUCUAGAGAUGAGGGAUUACAUACAGAUUUUGCAUGUCUUUUGUUUAAACAUUUAAAUCAAAAGCCACCUCAAGAUGUUAUUAUAAAUAUUAUUCGAGAAGCUGUAACUAUUGAACAAGAUUUUUUAACAAAUGCAUUACCAGUUAAAAUGGUUGGUAUGAACUGUGAAAAAAUGGCUACAUACAUUGAAUUUGUUGCUGAUAGAUUAUUAACAGAAUUAGGAUGUCCAAAGAUUUUCAAAUCAUCUAACCCAUUCCCAUUUAUGGAUCUCAUAUCUCAACAAGGUAAAACUAAUUUCUUUGAAAAAAGAGUUGGUGAUUAUCAAAAAGCAUCUGUUGCCAUCCCAGACAUUCCUAAUAUUGCAACUAUGGACAUUACAAAUGAAGAUUUUUGAAAAUGAAAUUCUUUUGUGAAGAUUUUUAUUUAUUGAACCCCAUUAAAUAGUUAUCUCUAUGGUAUAAUUUUGAACUGAUUCAAUUAUUUGAAAACCAAUAAUUAAAAAUAUGUGUAUAUUUAUUUAAUAACAAUUGUAGUAAUGGUCUACAUUUUUAUUUGGACAAAUUAUUUUAAAUAAAAUUCUGUAUAUAUAGUUUUAUAAGUGAAGAUUUUUAUAAUAAAAAUGUGAUGUAAAGUAAGAUAG